UACGUGAGGGUGCGAGCGUUAAUCGGAAUUACUGGGCGUAAAGCGUGCGUAGGCGGUUCGUUAAGUGCGUCGUGAAAGCCCCGGGCUCAACCUGGGAAUGGCGAUGGAAACUGCCGGCUAGAGUAUGUCAGAGGGGGGUAGGAAUUCCACGUGUAGCAGUGAAAUGCGUAGAGAUGUGGAGGAAUACCGAUGGCGAAGCAGCCCCCUGGAUAAUACUGACGCUCAUGGCACGAAAGCGUGGGGAGCAAACAGG
rnacentral:rRNA from 1 species